CAGCAGGACUCGGGGAUGCUCCUAUGUCAGCUCUGCACGGCCACAGCACAAGGCACUGAGACGUACAUCACCACCACCCCAUGCCUCCUCCAUUGCUGAAAUAACCUCACUUGGUUAAUUUGAGAUAUACACAUAAUGGCCUUAAGAGCAUCCUAGAAGGUCUUAAAUAUCGCCUGAGGAACUGAUUACCUAAAAGGGAAGAUCAUUUCUGGCUGCCUUGAGAGCAGAAGGACCAGAAACAAAGAGAAUUUCAGGAAAAGGGCCACUCUAAGAACUCGGCAGAAUUGAGAAUAGCAACUGUUACCUCUGGAUGGGCAGUACUUAAGUGAGAUCUUCUUAUUCAGUACUGCCACCAGUCACACCUGACUACCAAAAUGUUCUCCACCUACCCUCCUCAUCUCUGCCAAUAUGAUGUUUUUAAGUUAUCUCUUUCAAGGCUAGAAAUGAAUUGCCAGCUAAGAGAAAAUCUGUUAGGUAUAACAAAUAACGAUUUAAGUACAAUAUACGCUGAGGAUGCAGUUAUAAAAGAGAAGUUAUACCAGAUCUUCAGCUUUUAUUAAUCAUAUCAACUCCACUGAAGCAGAGAGAGUAAUUCCAGGUUGCAUCUUCGGAGGAUCGUGCUCCUAUAUGUGCCAUCACCACUGUUGAACACGGAACAUUUCUUUGGUGCAUGAGUAACUGAAAGCUCUGGAAACAGGAGUAUAGUUGGUUUCAAGAUCCACAGGCCUUCAAGGGACCUGCUGAGGAAGGCAGGUUCUGCAGCACACUGAAUAUAUUCAGUGCUGACAGACUCAAGGGAAUACUCACUCAGAAAUCUUGCAAGUGAGGAAGAUAGGUGAUAAAACCACACCAAAGCUGAUUGUGGUGCUCGCAGCUGCAACUUCGCUGACUUGAGAAAACUUGGAGUUCAGAGCAGCAGUGGCACUGCCCUGUGGGUGGUGGAAGUCCAAACGUAAGCAAAAAAUUUUAAAAGGCUGUAAAUUUAUCACAAGAAGUAACAAAAGAAUAGUUGCAUUUCAGUAAACACACAUAGGAUAUUGAAUCUGUCUGUGAAAUAAGAUGGUUUCAAAUACAGUUUGGAUCACAGAGGAUUCAUGAAGAUUCCCCUUGCAUGUUUUCCUUGCUGAAGGUCUAGUUCACGAACUUCCAUAAACAAGGCAGUGAUGGUGGGACAUUUCAGUAGAACUUCUUGACUAUAGUUAUAUAAAUACAAAACAAAUUAAAAAAAUUAAAAGUGCUCAUAUUUGCAUGUAUAAAAAACUACAUCUUUUGUUUUCAUACUUAUAUGUACUCUUUCAAUUUGCUUAGUUUAUUUGCUUACAGUUCAUUGGACUGUAGUUGUAUAUAAAGAGAAUUUUUGGAAUAGGAAUUUAUUAUCUUACUUCGUUAAUAGUGGACAAAUUCAGUCACAGUAGAAUAUCAUCCAUUAAGAUACUAAUUUUAUAAAUAUGAGGAGAAAAAAAAAACAAACAACCAAUUCACAGAUCUGAAGAGUUCCAGUGAUCUUCCCAACAAGUGAUUUGAAAUUGAUUCUUCAGCAAUAUCUGUGAUCUAUUAUUGUUUUUCUCCUCAUAAACACGUAAAACAAUGUACAAAUUCAGUCAUGAUUUUAAAUUGGAGAUCAAAGCCACAGUUCAUUAUAACGAAGAGAGUACUUAAAUACACUGACA
ensembl:lncRNA